rnacentral:rRNA from 1 species
UACAGAGGUCCCAAGCGUUGUUCGGAUUCACUGGGCGUAAAGGGUGCGUAGGCGGGUUUUUAAGUCUGCUGUGAAAGCUCCGAGCUUAACUCGGAAAUUGCAGUGGAUACUAUCUACCUAGAGGUGUGGAGGGGGGACUGGAAUUCUCGGUGUAGCAGUGAAAUGCGUAGAGAUCGAGAGGAACACCAGUGGCGAAGGCGAGUCCCUGGACACCACCUGACGCUGAGGCACGAAAGCUAGGGGAGCAAACAGG